rnacentral:rRNA from 1 species
GAUGAACGCUGGCGGCGUGCCUAAUACAUGCAAGUCGAGCGAACGGACGAGAAGCUUGCUCCUCUGAUGUUAGCGGCUGACGGGCGAGUAACACGUGGAUAACCUACCUCUAAUACUGGGAUAACUUCGGGAAACCGGAGCUAAUACCGGAUAAUAUUUUGAACCGCAUGGUUCAAAAGUGAAUGACGGUCUUGCUGUCACUUUUAGAUGGAUCCGCGCUGCAUUAGCUAGUUGGUAAGGUAACGGCUUACCAAGGCAACGAUGCAUAGCUGACCUGAGAGGGUGAUCAGCCACACUGGAACUGAGACACGGUCCAGACUCCUACGGGAGGCAGCAGUAGGGAAUCUUCCGCAAUGGGCGAAAGCCUGACGGAGCAACGCCGCGUGAGUGAUGAAGGUCUUCGGGUCGUAAAACUCUGUUAUUAGGGAAGAACAUAUGUGUAAGUAACUGUGCACAUCUUGACGGUACCUAAUCAGAAAGCCACGGCUAACUACGUG